rnacentral:lncRNA from 1 species
AAAUACUUGCUUCUUCUCUCAACACACACUCUUCAGAUUACACACAUACUUCUGAAUUUAAAAAUACUUCGAACACCUUUCACUACACAAUUUCAAAUACUCUCUCUACUACUACCUUCUCCAUUUCUGAUACUGAGUACUCUGCUCUUCUCUCUUCUACUGUCUGAAAUACUCCUGGUUUCCUCUUGAACUCUCAAAUACUUGCUGAAGGUUCUGAGUUUGCUCUUGCUGACUUUCUGGUUGAUUACUUACUUUUUCUUGUUCUGUUGUACUAAAAUUUACAACUGGUAUGUAUUUCUAGUUAAAUAAUACCCUCCUGACUAUGUGUUUAUUCGUUCCCUCCUGUUAUUCAUUCUCACUAUGUGUUUACUUUACGAUUUCUUUCCCUAUGCCUGCUCUGCCUCUUUCCCUAUGAUUUUGCACCCUUAGUCUGUUCUUUUCUUGUGCUUCUGUGAAUGUUCUCUAUGUGAGUCCCCUUCCCUUUGACCAUUUCUUGUGUGAGAGUACUGUUAGAGUCAUGUAAACAUCCUAUUAUUGCAAUCCAUGUCCUAGAACUGGGUUCUAUUGAAACUUUACUCAAAUAAAUUCCCAUUCCCUUUACCCCUUAUGUGUUGAGCCUUGACUCAAGCCUGGUGGUGUCCUAAUCACUAUCUAGACCCAAGUAUGACUUCCAAAAAAGUCUGCUCUUAAUUUUGUGGACCAAGCAAACGGUCAUGGGUGUUCCAGUCUAUGCCCAUGUCUGGGUAUGACCACUCUCUACUAUGGCUCCCUAACCCCUCUCUCACUUUGAACUUAUUCCUAGUCCUAAGUUCUGCCCCUCUCUGGUAAGCCAUGCUUUAGGAUCCUGGAGUUCCCUCUGAACUUGGAUGCCUGAGGGCUGGCUAUUCCACACUGCGCUAUUAUGUUAUAACAUUUAGCCAGAGUAGAAGCACUGCCUGGAGCUCCUGAAGCUCCUUGGAACUAUGAAAAACGUUGGAUAAGAGAAGACAUUGGAAAUCUGAAUUCCGGAAUUGGUGAAACACAUGUUAUUUGACACUAAGAUUUAAUUAGGCUUCUCGAGUCUAGCUGUGGGCUAUGAUGUAUUUUAAUUAUCCUUUUUUCUUCUAGUUCUGUAAUAGUUUUGUAAAAAAGAACUCGGGG